UAAUCUCGGGUCUGAUAUUCC
rnacentral:miRNA from 1 species